rnacentral:misc_RNA from 1 species
UUAAGUUCAGCGGGUAUCCCUACCUGAUCCGAGGUCGACUUUUUUUUUCCUUGCCUUGUGGACGCGGGCAUGGCGGGCCUCGAGACGCGAUUGCGCUGCGCUCGAAGCCCACGUACCGGCCGCCAAUGACUUUGAGGCGAGUCCCCUAGACGGACAGACGCCCAACACCAAGCUGCGCUUGAGGGUGUAGAUGACGCUCG